GAUGAACGCUAGCUACAGGCUAAACACAUGCAAGUCGCGGGGCAGCAUGUCGGUUGCUUGCAACCGAUGAUGGCGACCGGCGCACGGGUGAGUAACGCGUAUCCAACCUGCCCUUCACCACGGAAUAAUCCAGUGAAAAUUGGUCUAAUACCGUAUGAGGUCAUACGAUGGCAUCAGAAUAUGACGAAAGGUUUGGCGGUGAAGGAUGGGGAUGCGUCUGAUUAGCUUGUUGGUGAGGUAACGGCUCACCAAGGCGACGAUCAGUAGGGGUUCUGAGAGGAAGGUCCCCCACAUGGAACUGAGACACGGUCCAAACUCCUACGGGAGGCAGCAGUGAGGAAUAUUGGUCAAUGGGCGAGAGCCUGAACCAGCCAAGUAGCGUGCAGGAAGACGGCCCUAUGGGUUGUAGACUGCUUUUAUAUGGGGAUAAAGUGAGCUACGUGUAGUUUAUUGCAGGUACCAUAUGAAUAAGGACCGGCUAAUUCCGUGCCAGCCGCCGCAGUAA
rnacentral:rRNA from 1 species